GUCGACUUUGACACGUGUUAAUUGCUGCUCAGCUCUCCUCAUCAGGGAGUCUCAAAUUAUUUUAGCGCUCCGGGCCACAGCGCCUUGUUUGCUUUGCUGAGGAAAGGAAGCAAGCUGGCCCAAACUUCAAAUGAUAAAAUGGCUUCAUCGAUAGAAAAAUCAGACAAAACUGCUUCACUGCACUUCUGGCUACAUUUAAACAUCUUUGAUUUCAGUUUCCUGCUGUAUCCUCAGCUUUUACCAACAACGCUCCUCUCAACCAACAUACUCAAAUACACAGUUUUACUUCAGUGCCUGAGAGCACCAGUACUCAUCUUCUUUACUUCACACUUCUUACCUGUUGACAUGUAUUUAUAAGGCCUUGCAUGGUGAAUUAUAAAGCCUUUGUUAUUGCCUGGCUUGGGGUUGGCCACUUGUUUAUGACACCAGUAAUGGUGGUAAUUGUUAUUGUUGAGAUUACCUGUCAAGAGGACCUGGACAGUGAGCUUGGAGAAAGCGUUGCUCUCUUGACAAGGGGUGACAGGGGUGUGGGGAAGAGGAUGUGGGGGUUGGAGGCGAGGCUGGGAUGCCCUGAUGACUUCUCCGCUGAUAAUCAGCUACCGUGGCCUGUGGGAUAAUUCAGCUGUCAGUGCCACCUAACAGGGCCCAGCAUCAGCCGGCCGACCCCAGCUGGCGUCAUUCAUUUGGACUGAAGAUGGGGAUGAAGGCCUCAGGAGGGGUGAAGGGAUGCAGGAGCAGAGGAAUAAGGACAACGUCUACAUAUUUGAUUGCUGGAGUUGGCCUUUAAAUGCAGUAAUUUAAAGUUAUCAUCAAACAUUUUUUUAUAGUUUUUGAAAAAAAUGUCUUUUAAAUUUUGCGCCUAAAAGUGCCUUUUUCAAAUUAACAGCUGAUUGAAUGUUUAAACCUCGCUUUGGUGAAAAACCAAAGUAUUAAAUACGUUUUAAAUUGUAUUUCACAUAAGGUCUUAUUUUCUUUAUAUAAAAAACACAGUUUCAGUUUUUUUGCAAAGGCACAUAGCAAGUCCUCACAACACUGCACCUAACAACAUAGAGCAGAUCCUUUAUGCCAUAUGAUCUAAAUGCUUUGUGAAGAAUUUCUGCAACCAGGACUGAACAGGCGAUUGCAGUAAUUCUUGAGAUGUUCACUUGCAUCUUAAAUCAACAUGACGCUGUAAUAAGUGUAUUUUGUUGAAAAUGAAAUUACUUUUAAAUUGAGCCACUACAACAAAUUCAAAGCUUAAUAAUAUAAAGGUUAAUUGCAUGCAAUAUGUCAUGUAUAGAAAUUGUUGAAAAUGUGACUACCUAUUUGCAACCUUUUAAGGUCCUUCCUAAUUCCUUCUGUAAAAGCAGACUCGUUGUCUUCCUGGACACGUGUGCAUCAUAAAGAGGGCAGCAGCAGCUAAAAUGGCAGGCAAAUCACUUUUCGAAUGGUUUUGGAGCAGCUAUCAGUGUCAUCCCUGAAAGGCUGUCUUUAUCAAUGAUACUGGCUGAUAUGGUGGGGGUGUGGAGGUUGGUGGAGGGCGUGGGGGGGGGGGUUCUAUCUGUCUUUGGAAUCUUUCACAGUUUAGGGCCGAGAGCUGCUAAGAAACUGUCAAAGAUUUGGACAGCUAAAAUCCCCCGGUAGCAAACGCUGAGCUGUUCUCUAUCUGUAUUCCACUGUGGCAACACGCGGGGUUGUAACACUACGCCACUGCUAUUCCAGUGGGAUAAUGUCACUGAGGAAAUAGUGCCAGAAAAAUGUCUGCACAGUAUUUUUGCUGUAAUACAGUAUUCCUUUAUUUUUGAUUUUAUCAUGCAAACAUUUAUGAAAAUGAACACAUUUUGUGAAUUUGAGUCACUUGUUCAAAUUUAUUUUUUUUUGUGUGUGAACAUUGUACUGUUUCUGAUUCAGUUACAGUAUAUAACUACUGUCUGCACCUAAUUUAAUCUCUAUUCAUGGAUGUAAUUUUAAUAAAUGAUACGGUAUAUUAUAUGAUUUUGUCAAACUCUUUGCAAUAUGACUUUUGUGGUGAUUUAAAUGAGUUCGCAUUGAGUGAUGCUGAACUUUUGCCGUCCAUUUACCCAUCAGCACAUAUGAUAUUUCAUCCAAACCGUUAUUGUCAUAACACCUCGUACGUAAUUUUGACGACGUUUGAGGUAGGUUUGCUUUCCUUCGACCACUUUACAAGUGUGAAAUCCACAGUGUAUCCAAAGUUACGCAGAAAUUUUGCUACGUGUCAGAGUGGAAAAAUAAACACAAAAACUUUUGCACAAACAUUAGUGCCCAUGUGAUGGAAGAUUUUUUAGUGGAUUUACAGAAUCCUGUUUUUCCACUUUGAGUAAUGCUCAUAGAGCAUUUUACAUGUUUAUUUUUUU